rnacentral:SRP_RNA from 1 species
GUUUUGGAACCUGACGGCAAGGUGAUUGUGAACCGGGUCAGAUGGGGAACCAAGCAGCCCUAAGCAAUUGACUUGGGUGUCAGCCAUUCCGGAAUCGG